UGAAGACAGGAGCCAGGAGGCCAGUCCUGCACUCUCUCCACGGGCCAGUCCUACACUCUAUGCUCGUCCUGAACCUGAAGCAUCCUCUGGGGAUAGAGAGCCCUGUGAUGAUGGGAGGCCUGUUUCUGUCCACCCAGAUGAACCCUUGUCUAUGAAAGAUAUGCAUCAGCAGAACACAUCACUUGUGAAAGACUGCAGUGUGAAGAUGUGGCAGAAUUAUGCUUAGGAGGAGAACUAACAGUUUGUAUCCAACCAGGAUGAAAUGCACUUGCAGACUGAAACAGGCUGCUUUCCCAGGAAGAUGGAGAUCUGUGCGAUGCAAUUCAAGAGCUGUUGCAUGUUAAUGAACAAAGCCCUGCUUCAUGUCUUAGGCAUGUCCAGUAAUUAUUGAAAGACAUUAGAAAUAGUGUUAUAGUUCCCUAACCCUUACGCAGCACUCAGACAUUGAUAACAUUUAUGAUAACACUUAGACUGAUGAGACUACCUUGAAUUCAUUAUGUGUCAUUUUGUGUCAUUAAAAAAAAGAGAAUAAAAAUAACAAUUUUUGAACAGUC